GGGGAUGUUUUGGUUUUGACAGCAGACGACAUUGGAAAGUAAGCACGUGGAGCUUCGUGUCCCGGCUCCAAAAUCUCAGGACUCAAGCCAUAACUGGCAACAACAAUUACGCACUCGCUGCCUGAUCGGUUAUUAACUGAUCACUUAAUCAAGCCGGGCUAGGCCCGGAAUGACGAGUAUCCCGCCGGGACUUACGCCUUUUGGUUCCCGGCAAACGGGGUAUCAUUUACAAAGGGCUGGCUGCAAAGAAGCUCCGGCUUUGUAGCAAGAUUUAAGGAGAUAAGGAACUGAUGGCCUGUCUGCAGGCAGUCUUUUUCCCGAAAACCAAAUGUAGACUAAACGUGUAGAAAGCUUUUGGAUGCGCUGUUUGGACGGCGGUUCGAGUCCGCCCAUCUCCACUG
rnacentral:tmRNA from 1 species